rnacentral:lncRNA from 1 species
AAAGUGCUGAAAGGAAUAGUGGUAGAAUAGAACCAACCUUUGAAUUAAAGGUUGGUUCUGCUGAGACCAAAGGUAAAUAAUUGUUAUAGCAGCAGAGAGGCUGCAGUACUACAGACAGACAACAGAUUUAGCAAAUAAUUGAUUAAGGGUAAACCUCUUUAACUGGAAAUUAAACACAAAAUUCCAGAGAACAUACAUCCUGAGAAU